AGACAUCUAUAAAACAUUUCAUCCUAAAACAAGAGAAUAUAGCUUCUUCUCAGGACCUCACUGUACCUUCUCAAAAAUUGAUCAUAUAAUUGGUCACAAAGCAGGCCUCAAUAGAUAGAAGAAGAUAGAAAUAAUCCCAUGCAUCCUGUCAGAUCACCAUGGACUAAGGCUGGUCUCCAGUAAUAACAGAAAGCCCACAUACACGUGGAAGCUGAACAACGCUCUACUCAACGACAACAUAGUCAAGGAAGAAAUAAAGAAAGAAAUUUUAGAAUUUAAUGAAAAUGAAGGCACAACAUACCCAAACUUCUGGGACACAAUGAAAGCAGUGCUAAGAAGAAAACUGAUAGCUCUGAGUGCCUCCAAAAAGAUAUUGGAGAGAGCAUACAGUAACAGCUUGACAUCACACCUGAAAGCUCUAGAACAAAAGGUAGGAAAUUCUCCCAAGAGGACUAGACUGUAGGAAAUAAUCAAAUUCAGGGCUGAAAUCAACCAAGUAGAAACAAAAA
rnacentral:lncRNA from 1 species